GUGUUCCAGGUAAAUCCGGUUCACUUUAACACUGAGGCGUGACGACGAGGCACUACGGUGCUGAAGCAACAAAUGCCCUGCUUCCAGGAAAAGCCUCUAAGCAUCAGGUAACACGAAAUCGUACCCCAAACCGACACAGGUGGUCAGGUAGAGAAUACCAAGGCGCUUGAGAGAACUCGGGUGAAGGAACUAGGCAAAAUGGUGCCGUAACUUCGGGAGAAGGCACGCUGACACGUAGGUGAAGUGAUUUACUCAUGGAGCUGAAGUCAGUCGAAGAUACCAGCUGGCUGCAACUGUUUAUUAAAAACACAGCACUGUGCAAACACGAAAGUGGACGUAUACGGUGUGACGCCUGCCCGGUGCCGGAAGGUUAAUUGAUGGGGUCAGCGCAAGCGAAGCUCCUGAUCGAAGCCCCGGUAAACGGCGGCCGUAACUAUAACGGUCCUAAGGUAGCGAAAUUCCUUGUCGGGUAAGUUCCGACCUGCACGAAUGGCGUAAUGAUGGCCAGGCUGUCUCCACCCGAGACUCAGUGAAAUUGAACUCGCUGUGAAGAUGCAGUGUACCCGCGGCAAGACGGAAAGACCCCGUGAACCUUUACUAUAGCUUGACACUGAACAUUGAGCCUUGAUGUGUAGGAUAGGUGGGAGGCUUUGAAGUGUGGACGCCAGUCUGCAUGGAGCCGACCUUGAAAUACCACCCUUUAAUGUUUGAUGUUCUAACGUGGACCCGUAAUCCGGGUUGCGGACAGUGUCUGGUGGGUAGUUUGACUGGGGCGGUCUCCUCCUAAAGAGUAACGGAGGAGCACGAAGGUUGGCUAAUCCUGGUCGGACAUCAGGAGGUUAGUGCAAUGGCAUAAGCCAGCUUGACUGCGAGCGUGACGGCGCGAGCAGGUGCGAAAGCAGGUCAUAGUGAUCCGGUGGUUCUGAAUGGAAGGGCCAUCGCUCAACGGAUAAAAGGUACUCCGGGGAUAACAGGCUGAUACCGCCCAAGAGUUCAUAUCGACGGCGGUGUUUGGCACCUCGAUGUCGGCUCAUCACAUCCUGGGGCUGAAGUAGGUCCCAAGGGUAUGGCUGUUCGCCAUUUAAAGUGGUACGCGAGCUGGGUUUAGAACGUCGUGAGACAGUUCGGUCCCUAUCUGCCGUGGGCGCUGGAGAACUGAGGGGGGCUGCUCCU
rnacentral:rRNA from 1 species